rnacentral:rRNA from 1 species
GACGAACGCUGGCGGCGUGCUUAACACAUGCAAGUCGAACGGCAAGGCCCUGCUUUUGUGGUGUGCUCGAGUGGCGAACGGGUGAGUAACACGUGAGUAACCUGCCCUUGACUUUGGUAUAACUUCAGGAAACUGGGGCUACUACCGUAUAGGAUCUCCUGCUGCAUGGUGGGGGUUGGAAAUUUUCGGCUGUUGGGGAUGGACUCGCGGCUUAUCAGCUUGUUGGUGGGGUAGUGGCUUACCAAGGCUUUGACGGGUAGCCGGCAUGAGAGGGGGACCGGGGACAUGGGGACUGAGAUACGGCCCAGACUGCUACGGGAGGCAGCAGGGGGGAAUAUUGCACAAUGGGAGGAAGUCGGAUGCAGAAACGCCGCGUGCGGGAUGACGGCCUGCGGGUUGAAAACCGCUUUAGCCUGUGACGAAGCGGGAGUGACGGUAAUGGGUAAAGAAGCACCGGCUAACUACGUG